GAUGAAGAACGUAGCGAAAUGCGAUACUUGGUGUGAAUUGCAGAAUCCCGUGAACCAUCGAGUCUUUGAACGCAAGUUGCGCCCGAAGCCACUAGGCCGAGGGCACGCCUGCCUGGGCGUCACACGCCGUUGCCCCCCCAUCUACUCCUUCGGGAUUGCGGGGGGGCGGAUGAUGGCCUCCUGUGCGCCUAGCCGCGCGGUUGGCAUAAAUACCAAGUCCUCGGCGACGCACGCCACGACAAUCGGUGGUUGCGAAACCUCGGUUGCCCGUCGUGUGCGUUCGUCGCGCAUCGAGGGCUCGAAAAAAUGCUCGGCUCCGGCUGGGCUUUCAACGUGACCCCAGGUCAGGCGGGGUUACCCGCUGAAUUUAAGCAUAUCAAUAAGCGGAGGA
rnacentral:misc_RNA from 1 species